GAUGAAGAACGUAGCGAAAUGCGAUAAGUAAUGUGAAUUGCAGAAUUCAGUGAAUCAUCGAGUCUUUGAACGCACAUUGCGCCCCCUGGUAUUCCGGGGGGCGUGCCUGUCCGAGCGUCAUUGCUGCCCUCAAGCACGGCUUGUGUGUUGGGCCCCGCCCCCCGGCUCCCGGGGGGCGGGCCCGAAAGGCAGCGGCGGCACCGCGUCCGGUCCUCGAGCGUAUGGGGCUUCGUCACCCGCUCCGUAGGCCCGGCCGGCGCCCGCCGGCGACCCCCCUCAAUCUUUUCAGGUUGACCUCGGAUCAGGUAGGGAUACCCGCUGAACUUAAGCAUAUCAAUAAGCGGAGGA
rnacentral:misc_RNA from 1 species